rnacentral:rRNA from 1 species
GCCCACGGGGGGCAGCAGUGGGGGAUAUUGCACAAUGGGGGAAACCCUGAUGCAGCGACGCCGCGUGGGCGAAGAAGUAUUUCGGUAUGUAAAGCCCUAUCAGCAGGGAAGAAGAAAUGACGGUACCUGAGUAAGAAGCACCGGCUAAAUACGUGCCAGCAGCCGCGGUAAUACGUAUGGUGCAAGCGUUAUCCGGAUUUACUGGGUUUAAAGGGUGCGUAGGCGGGUUAUCAAGUCAGCGGUAAAAUACGGGGGCUCAACCUCCGCCCGCCGUUGAAACUGACGGUCUUGAGUGGGCGAGAAGG